AUGCAGUUUUGUAUUUGUUAUGUUUAUUAAGAUAAUAUAUAGUGUCUUUGUAAACAUCAAUAGUGAGAAAUUGAUAUAUUUUAGGCAUUUCCAACUUCUGACUAUUAUUACUUAUAACGAUGAGGUUCAAGACCAAAUCCCAUGAUGAGUCAAGGACUAUCUUUAUUUAAAAAUAAAAUAAUUAUAUAUACAUGUAUUCCUCACUUAAAGACUUACCUGCUUAACGACUGUUCGAACUUACAUCCAAGCUUAAGACUUUUUUUAACAGAAAAUUUGGUUUUCACUCAUAUGUGUCACUUACAACUUCUAUUGCAUGUAAUUCCUUGCACUCAUAGUUCUAAAAAUCUGAUGAAGAAAAAUACUUUGUGCCUGAUUAAGAUAUAAAUGUCUUUACAGCCAUGAGAACAUAAGUGAGUAACUUGUUCUAAAUGUAUACAAACAAGUUAUUCGUCGACCAGUUCAUUGUACGACAAGCCAUGAGAACGGAACUUGGUCGUUAAGUGAGAAGUACCUGGACAUACAUAUAUAAAAUAGAUCAUCAAUAUCAAUUCUGAAUAAAGAAAAACUGUUAAAUUCAAUGCGGAUUGAUGGCAAGCAGCACAUCAAAUUUUAUUUAAGAGAUAUGUAAUCUACUCAGAAAUUUACCCUUUUAAAAAUGAAAAACUAAAAUGUAAGGAAAAGAGAGAAAAUCUGCCAUAAAUGUGGCAAAUCAAUAAAAGAAAAGAGAGGAGAUACUUCAGGUGUUUUUUUAUGGCAGGAAUAUGAGACAAUGAAUGAAUUUUUCCUCUAUUAAAGGAUGAGUAUUCAGAUAACCAGAUACAAAAUAGAAAUGCAAAAUCAAACCUGUUUAAAAAGUUUUGUGUUUUACUCAUAAUAGAAAGCUGAAUUGUUAUAUUUGCCAAUCACCAGAAUUACAAAUCUAAUUCUAAGAAAAAAAUAUAUAAUUAUUAAAUAUUGCUAAAAGCAUAGUUUUUUCCCCACUUACAAGGAGAGGGCGCAAAGGCCGGAAAACGGAUUGGAACGAAACUUGUU
rnacentral:lncRNA from 1 species